GUCCCUAGAUGGAAGGCAGUCUAGAAAUGUUACAUUUUUUUAUUAUAGAUCCUGUUAAGGAUACAGUUGCAUUUUCUGAAGCUUUUAAUAAUUUCUAAGGAAAUAUUCCCCCUUUUAGAGUUUUGGGGUUUCUCUUAAUAUAAAAAAUCUUCUCCUUCAACAGUAACAAUGAAAGAAUUUAUUUAUGUUGCUCCAGGCAGCGUGUCUUCUGCAUAGUCCUAGAACAGACACGUGAAUUUUCACUUAAUUGAAUGAUCUGAUUGGCUGAACAUCUGGUGCUUUAUUAUAACUACAAUAAUUAAAAAGCUAUUCUGAAGUUAUUGCCAUAUGAAAUUAACUUAUUGUAUGCUUUUACAUUUGUAUCCCUCUGCAGGUCUGAUCUGGCAUCCUGGGAGGUAUGCUGUGUGCCAGGGGCCCAUGUCAGAGACAUGACAGGAUUGCUGAGGAUCAUCCAACCCUCUGACUACUACCCCAUGCUGCUCAUCCAUGGUACUGCAAGGUAUGACCCUGAGCAGAUCAGAAGUGACUACAGGGAUCUGGGAGCAAGGGAGGAGCAGGUGGUGUUUUCAUCAAUCCUUCCAGUCAAGGGGACCUGGGCAGAGACAUCAUGGAGUUUCUUGUCAGGACAGAAAUAUUGGAAAGGCAACUCAAGUUUGUUUGCUUUUUAUGGCAUCUCAGCUUUCUAUGACUGGAAUUGAAACUUGCUGAUGGUGCUGAGAUAAUCUGGUUUUCUCCUGGGACCUCUGAGAACAGCAGCUGAAUCACUGUCUGGUAGCAACAUGAAUUCUUUGGGAGAGGAUUUUGUACUUCAUUGCAUGGUUCCAAAUGAAUGUGAAUACAACUGCUUUGUGACCUUGUGCAGUCAUUUUAUUAUAUAUAUUCAAAAAUC